AGGAUUAGAUACCCGGGUAGUCCCAGCUGUAAACGAUGCAGACUAGGUGUUUGGACGGCCACGUGCCGUUCUAGUGCCGCAGGGAAGCUGUUAAGUCUGCCGCCUGGGGAGUACGAUCGCAAGAUUGAAACUUAAAGGAAUUGGCGGGGGAGCACCACAAGGGGUGAAGCUUGCGGUUUAAUUGGAGUCAACGCCGGAAAUCUCACCGGGAGCGACAGCAGUAUGAAAGCCAGAUUGAAGGUCUUGCUAGACGAGCUGAGAGGAGGUGCAUGGCCGUCGCCAGUUCGUGCCGUGAGGUGUCCUGUUAAGUCAGGCAACGAUCGAGACCCGCGUCCUCUGUUGCAACCAGCUUUGAGCUGGGCACACUGAGGAGACCGCCACUGAUAAAGUGGAGGAAGGAGCGGGCCACGGCAGGUCAGUAUGCCCCGAAUCUCCCGGGCCACACGCGAGCUGCAAUGGCAAGUACAAUGGGUUCCGACCUCGAAAGGGGGAGGCAAUCUCGAAAGCUUGCCGUAGUUGGAAUUGAGGGUUGAAACCCACCCUCAUGAACAUGGAAUCCCUAGUAAUCGCGUGUCACUAGCGCGCGGUGAAUACGUCCCUGCUCCUUGCACACACCGCCCGUCGUUCCAUCCGAGUGACUCUUGGGUGAGGCACCGUCUUCUUGGCGGCGUCGAAUCUAAGUUUCACAAGGAGGGAAAAGUCGUAACAAG
rnacentral:rRNA from 1 species